rnacentral:tRNA from 2 species
GGCCCCGUAGCUCAGAGGAUAGAGCACCGGCCUUCUAAGCCGAUGGUCGCAGGUUCGAAUCCUGCCGGGGUCACCA